AAGAAAUUAGUUUAAUAAAAAUUUAAGUUAGUCAAAUUUAAGAUACACUUAGUAGUAUUUCUUA
rnacentral:tRNA from 2 species